rnacentral:lncRNA from 1 species
GUCUUUUUAAAUAAAUCUUUAUUUCUCAAACUCAAAGCUUUAUUUCAUCAAGUUCUAACACAUUUUGCGUUGACAAGUGAUUUCACCUGCAUCCCAUGAGAAGGUCAGUGGCCAUUACACCAAAGAGGAAACCUCACACAACCUCGGAAAUUAAUAUUGGAAAGGCUAUGCAAGUACAGAAUAACAAAAAGCUUUCAAUUUAGUCUAAUUUGUAUCUUUUCAUCUAUAGUAAUUUGGAAAUUAAUGGAUAAAGACUUAAUUUUCCUAAAGCAGCAAUUUUUUUAAAUUCACUAAAAAAAAAAAAAAAGACCAGAUGGCUUGAGUUUUAAAACGCCCAGAGAUCCAUAUUAUUUAACGACUUCCUCUUUAGUGGAUGGUCUUCUCACCUUCGUAUGCAAACACACUUGACGAUUUACACCAACUCCCACUAGCCCAGGCAAAACUCUAAGCAAUUUCUUUUGCUUCCACUUAAAACUAUUUUUUAAGUGAUAGUAAACAAGAUUUAGAACUUGACCUCACAAAAAAGCAUUUUCUUUCCUGAUCC